rnacentral:tRNA from 1 species
CCUUCCAUAGCUCAGCUGGUAGAGCGGAGGACUGUAGGUGCGAUACAGCAAUCCUUAGGUCGCUGGUUCAAUUCCGGCUCGAAGGA